UACGAAGGGGGCUAGCGUUGCUCGGAAUCACUGGGCGUAAAGGGUGCGUAGGCGGGUCUUUAAGUCAGGGGUGAAAUCCUGGAGCUCAACUCCAGAACUGCCUUUGAUACUGAGGAUCUUGAGUUCGGGAGAGGUAAGUGGAACUGCGAGUGUAGAGGUGAAAUUCGUAGAUAUUCGCAAGAACACCAGUGGCGAAGGCGGCUUACUGGUCCGGUUCUGACGCUGAGGCGCGAAAGCGUGGGGAGCAAACAGG
rnacentral:rRNA from 1 species